rnacentral:rRNA from 1 species
UGAGGAAUAUUGGUCAAUGGGGGCAACCCUGAACCAGCGACGCCGCGUGAGGGAUGAAUGGGCUUUGCCCUGUAAACCUCUGUCGGGUGGGAAAAAAGGACUGUUUGGCGGUCUGGGAUUGUACCACUAAAGGAAGCACCGGCUAACUACGUGCCAGCAGCCGCGGUAAUACGUAGGGUGCAAACGUUGUCCGGAAUUACUGGGUGUAAAGGGUGCACAGGCGGUUUUGUGCGUCAGAGGUUAAAUCCCACAGCUCAACUGUGGACAUGCCUUUGAUACGGCAGGACUUGAGUACAAGAGAGGAUGAUAGAAUUCCUGGUGUAGCGGUGAAAUGCGUAGAUAUCAGGAGGAAUACCAGUGGCGAAGGCGGUCAUCUGGCUUGUAACUGACGCUUAAGCACGAAAGCAUGGGUAGCGAACA